GUGAGGAAUUUUCCGCAAUGGGCGAAGGCCUGACGGAGCAAUGCCGCGUGAAGGAUGAAGGCCUAUGGGUUGUAAACUUCUUUUCUCAGAAAAGAAUUAUGACGGUAUCUGAGGAAUAAGCAUCGGCUAACUCUGUGCCAGCAGCCGCGGUAAGACAGAGGAUGCAAGCGUUAUCCGGAAUGAUUGGGCGUAAAGCGUCUGUAGGUUGUUUAAAAAGUAUUCUGUCAAAGAUUAGGGCUUAACCCUAGAUAGGCAGAAUAAACUUUUAAGCUAGAGUUUGGUAGAGGCAGAGGGAAUUCCCGGUGGAGCGGUGAAAUGCGUAGAUAUCGGGAGGAACACCAAAGGCGAAGGCACUCUGCUGGGCCAAUACUAACACUGAGAGACGAAAGCGAGGGGAGCAAAUGGGAUUAGAUACCCCGGUAGUCC
rnacentral:rRNA from 1 species